rnacentral:rRNA from 1 species
AUGCAGAUUGCCGGACUCAACACCCUCGGCAUCUCAAUCGCGCGCAUCGACUAUGCUCCCUUGGGCCAGAACCCACCACAUACGCACCCCCGCGCCACUGAGAUCCUCACAGUGCUCGAGGGGACACUAUACGUUGGAUUUGUCACAUCCAACCUGCCCGCCCCAGCCAGAAACAAGUUCUUCUCGAAGGUGCUCAACAAAGGUGAUGUGUUUGUCUUCCCCGUGGGGCUCAUCCACUUCCAAUUCAACCCCAACCCCCAUCAGCCCGCCGUUGCAAUUGCCGCGCUCAGCAGCCAGAACCCAGGGGCUAUCACAAUUGCCAAUGCAGUGUUUGGGUCAGACCCACCAAUAUCCGAUGAUGUUCUUGCCAAGGCGUUUCAGGUGGAAAAGAAUACAAUAGACUGGCUCCAGGCUCAGUUCUGGGAGAACAACCACAACUAA